GAAUGCACCACGCCCGGCAGCUCAUCUGCGCGCUUUAUCACCCGGCUUCCUUUCAUCUCGGCCGUCGAGGGGAGAAGACGUGGAGUGUCGCCGCUCCAAUGGGUCCGCAGUUUUCAGGCAUUGUUCUGGGGGGUUCUGGAGAAGCGAGAUCAACCCUGGAUGUGUGGUGGAGUCUAGGGGACCCAGAAGGGAUGUUCCUGUUGACCAGACCAGCCAAUCACAGCUCACCGAGAACGAUGCUGCCGUAGGACAACGCCAGUCCAGGCUAGCUAACUGCAGCUCACAGAAAGCAAUGCCGCCAAAGACAGACUCCAGGCGAGGCUAGCCGAUCACAGUUGGCUGUGAGUGUGUUCUGGGGGGUUCUGGAGAAGCGAGAUCAACCCUGGAUGUGUGGUGGAGUCUAGGGUAAGGCCCUCUCGCCCUGCGGACUGUCCCGUCAGAGCUGGAAGCCCAACCCCAAAUGCCCCACCCCCACCCGGGUCAAAUCCUGGCACAGAGGGACACAGUGCUGUUUGAGAUCGUCGCAUGGAACCCCACACACACACACGCGCGCGCACACAUGCACAGACACACGCACACACACACACUCGUCCUGACAUCUAUGUGUGUGGCGGUGGAGACUAAGCUGAUGUAGUUUCUGAAUGGUGAUGCUUGUUCUUAGCGCACUGGGCAGCCAGCGGUCUGAUGUACAGGUAAAUCUAAAGCUCUGACUGUCCAGGGUGCACAGGUAAAUCUGAAGCUCUGACUGUCCAGGGUGCACAGCUAAAUCUAAAGCUCUGACUGUCCAGGGUGCACAGGUACAUCUGUAAAGCUCUGAUUGUUUCACCCUAUGAGCACGAUGGUGAAGAUGACUAAACAGAACAAAUAAUAAAUUUCAGUUAAUGGAA